UACGGGGGGGGCAAGCGUUGUUCGGAAUUACUGGGCGUAAAGGGCUCGUAGGUGGCCAACUAAGUCAGACGUGAAAUCCCUCAGCUUAACUGGGGAACUGCGUCUGAUACUGGCAGGCUUGAAUCCGGGAGAGGGAUGCGGAAUUCCAGGUGUAGCGGUGAAAUGCGUAGAUAUCUGGAGGAACACCGGUGGCGAAGGCGGCAUCCUGGACCGGCAUUGACGCUGAGGCGCGAAAGCCAGGGGAGCAAACGGG
rnacentral:rRNA from 1 species